AUGGCGGCCGCCGCGGCAUCUUCCUCCGCCAUUUCUGCCCUCCCUUCUCCUUCCUCCUCGCAGCCCCUCUACCUCCUCCUCCUCUCCAGGCCGCCGACACCAUCCCGCCUCCGCCUCCGCCUCCACCUCCACCUCCGACACACGCACCUCCUCCCCGUCCGAUCCCGCCCGCAUCGACCCUCCACCCGCUGCUGCUGCUCCUCCGCCGCGGCGUCCUACAACGGCUGGGCCGACCUCCCGGCCGCCGACGACCCGCUGGGCCUCCCCUUCCUCCGCAUCACGCAGCAGUCCCUCGCCGCCGCCCCGCUCCUCCUCCUCCUCCCGGUCGCCGCGCUCUCCCUCUCCCGCCUCCCGCCCGCCCCGCUCCUCGCCGCCGUCUUCGCCGCCGGGUUCGCCACCGCCAGGCACCUCGCCCCGGCCCCCGGCGCCUCCUCCACCCACCGCCUCGCCGCCCUCCUCGCGGAUCUCGACGCCCGCCUCCUCUCCCUCAAGGGCCGCCUCCUGGCCUCGGCCCCCGCCGAUGGUGACCACGACGACAUCGAGCCCCUCGACCGCGCCCGCGAUGCGCUCCUGGAGUGCGCGGCAGCCGUGGCCGCCGGCCAGGGCCAGGGCCAGGGCAGCAGCAGCAACGCCGGCGGCGCCGCUCCGGACGACGGGGCGCUGCAGGACGUGGCCAGGGAGGUCGCCGGCUACAUCGGCGGCUGGGCCAAGGCCGCCCUGCGGGAGCUCAGCUUCGCCUCGCCGCGGAAGAAACCCGCCAAGGCCGUCGCCCCUGAUGCUUCUACGGCCGAUGCCAAGAGUAAUUCAGGCUCUGCUGUAGCUCAGCAGGGGGAUGGGGAAAACAAGCCAGCUGAUUCAGCGGCCGUCGGUAGCGCCCGGCCGCUCGACAUGCUGCCGUUUGAUGGCAAGGAUGCUGCCAGUGGGUUUGAGGAUGCAGGGUUCAGUUCUGAGAGCGGGCAGGAAGACGACGACCGGCUGGAGAGGCUGGUGUCCAAGCACAGGUAUGGCCGCGGCGGCAGGGUGCCAAAUGAUGGUCCAUUUCAAGAAGGCGGCAGGUUCGCCGCCGCUGAAUCCGCCGAGUCCUCCUUGCUGGAGAGGACACUCGAGAUCCGGGACAGGUCGUACAGGUUGAAGAUCGAGCGCCGAGAUGGCGGUGAGAGCCGAGUGAGUGGAGCACGGGGGAUGCCGGCUGAUGAAUUCGUGGGUAGCGCUGCCGCCAGUGUUGAGGAACAACCACUUACAGAUGAUGAUGAGGGUGGUGCCGGUGUGGGUUCAGAUGCUGAAGAGUUUGGCCGCAACGUUAAGGAGGCUGCUGAGAUCUUGAGGAAGGCGAGGGAAUGCAUGAUGGCCAGGGACGACGAAGAGGCCGCGGACGCGUUGCUCUAUAGGUCAGCAAGGCUUCUGUCCACCGCCGUGGCUUUGAGGCCGACAAGCCUGGUAGCGGUCGGUCAGCUAGGGAACACCUACCUCCUCCAUGGGGAGCUCAAGCUCAAGAUUAGCCGAGAGCUGAGGACGCUGCUGGCCAACAGCGGGGCUUAUAUUAACGGAGGAGAGCGUGUCUCACGGUCCAGGAAGCUUGAUAGAAGGAUCCUUAACAGAGAGAACAUUUCGUCUGCGCUGGUGGGCGUUUGUGAGGAGUGUGAGAGUCUCCUUGUUGAGGCAGGCAGAAGCUAUAGGACGGCUGUGUCAAUUGAUUCGGGCGACGUCAAGGCGCUGUACAAUUGGGGACUCGCGCUUAUCUUUCGUGGUCAACUGCUUGCUGACAUCGGACCGGAAGCAGCAGUUGAUGCUGAUCGGGUGUAUUUGGCUGCAAUCGACAAGUUUGAUGCCAUGUUAUCCAAAAGCAACACUUAUGCUCCAGAAGCUCUCUACAGAUGGGGCAGCGCUCUGCAGCAGCGAUCCCAGUUGCGCUCUCGGAACAACAAGGAGAAGAUAAGGCUGCUGGAGCAGGCAAAGAGUCUGUUUGAAGACGUACUGUAUGUUGAGGGCAACAACAAGAUGGUACGGGAGGCUCUAUCGUCGUGCAUAUCAGAGCUCAACUACCAUGGACGAUGGCUACAGUGA
rnacentral:rRNA from 1 species